rnacentral:piRNA from 1 species
UGUAGUUCACACUGGCUUGGUAGAU